rnacentral:lncRNA from 14 species
CAUCCCUGUUGUCCAUGAGCCCUUCUGGCUUAGAGUGCUCGCGUUAGUGUAACCCGAGUCAUAACAACUUUGCAUAAUUGAAUUUUGUUUUAAAUAAUUACAGUAAGAUAAAGUAUUAGAUACAUAUAGUUUGUAUGUGGGUAGGGUACAGAUAAUUUAAAUGUGAAAUCAUUUCAUAGAUACCACAGUGGUGUGUGGAGUAUAUGCGAUCCUUGCCAGGACCCAAAAGGGGAGUUGCCUGUACACAGCCCAGGAGAGUGGCUGCAAUGAGUGUGGCUCAGAGAGUUGCUGAUGAGAUGGACGUGAUGUUAGGCCAGGAAGUUGGAUACUCCAUUCGAUUUGAAGACUGCAGUAGUGCAAAAACCAUUCUUAAGUAUAUGACUGACGGGAUGCUCCUUCGUGAAGCUAUGAAUGAUCCCCUCCUGGAGCGUUAUGGUGUGAUAAUUCUUGAUGAGGCCCAUGAAAGAACAUUAGCUACGGAUAUUCUUAUGGGUGUUCUAAAGGAAGUUGUGAGACAGAGAUCAGAUUUAAAGGUUAUAGUUAUGAGUGCUACCCUAGAUGCUGGAAAAUUCCAGAUUUACUUUGAUAACUGUCCUCUCUUAACUAUACCUGGCCGAACACAUCCUGUUGAGAUUUUUUAUACUCCCGAACCAGAGAGAGAUUAUCUUGAAGCAGCAAUUCGAACGGUGAUCCAAAUACAUAUGUGUGAAGAGGAGGAAGGAGACCUUCUUCUUUUCUUGACUGGUCAAGAGGAAAUUGAUGAGGCCUGUAAGAGAAUAAAGCGUGAAGUUGAUGAUUUGGGUCCUGAAGUUGGUGAUAUUAAAAUCAUUCCAUUAUAUUCUACACUUCCACCCCAGCAGCAACAGCGCAUUUUUGAGCCACCACCUCCAAAAAAACAGAAUGGAGCAAUUGGAAGAAAGGUGGUUGUGUCAACUAAUAUUGCAGAGACCUCUUUGACAAUAGAUGGUGUGGUGUUUGUUAUUGACCCUGGAUUUGCAAAGCAAAAGGUAGCUAUGGCUGGAGCUUACUUUAUAUAAUGUGAACUGAGGAUGCUAAAUGCUUGCUUAUCUUGUGACUAACACAGUUUUUCAGGGUUACUUCUCUAAUUUUGGAUUUCCUUUUGAAAUUUGUAACAUCCCUGUAUUCUUUCUUGCUCUUAGAAAUUAAAGCUGUGUUCAGUAAUCUAGGCCACAUUUUCCACAUGCUUUGGUAUAAAAGUUUUGUGUUCCUUUUGUGUAUGAUGGUGGCUUAGGCAUGUGGUCUCAUGUAUGGAGAAAAAUGGUAGUAAUAGAAAAUCCCGGAUCAUACUUAAUGUUGG